rnacentral:rRNA from 1 species
AUUGAACGCUGGCGGCAGGCCUAACACAUGCAAGUCGAGCGAGUGGCGGACGGGUGAGUAAUGUAUGGGGAUCUGCCUGAUAGAGGGGGAUAACUACUGGAAACGGUGGCUAAUACCGCAUACUAUCGGAUGAACCCAUAUGGGAUUAGCUUGUGGGUGGGGUAACGGCUCACCCAGGCGACGAUCCCUAGCUGGUCUGAGAGGAUGAUCAGGCACACUGGGACUGAGACACGGCCCAGACUCCUACGUGAGGCAGCAGGGGGGAAUAUUGCACAAUGGGCUCAAGCCUGAUGCAGCCAUGCCGCGUGUAUGAAGAAGGCCUUAGGGUUGUAAAGUACUUUCAGCGGGGAGGCGUUACCCGCAGAAGAAGCACCGGCUAACUCCGUGCCAGCAGCCGCGGUAAUAC